UACGAAGGGGGCUAGCGUUGCUCGGAAUCACUGGGCGUAAAGCGCACGUAGGCGGCUUCUUAAGUCAGGGGUGAAAUCCUGGGGCUCAACCCCAUAACUGGCCUUGAUACUGAGGAGCUUGAGUCCGGGAGAGGUGAGUGGAACUCCGAGUGUAGAGGUGAAAUUCGUAGAUAUUCGGAAGAACACCAGUGGCGAGGGGGGCUCACUGGCCCGGUACUGACGCUGGGGUGCGAAAGCGUGGGGAGCAAACAGG
rnacentral:rRNA from 1 species